UUAUGGCCAUAUCACCUUGAAACACCAGUUCACGUAUGAUCACCAAAGUUAAACAAUGUCAAGCCUGGUCAGUACAUAGAUGGAUUACUGCUUUGGAAUAACAAGUGCUGUAAU